rnacentral:lncRNA from 1 species
UUCAAUUUCACAAUUGACCACCGUUAGAUCAAACAUUCAAAUAUUAUGAAACACUUCAUUUACUAAAACAGUAACAAGUAUUAAAGAAGAUACCUAUGUCUUAUUUACAUGAACGAACUUACCGGACUAGUUUGCAAUAACGACUUGAAUACAGUGACUAAUCCUUAACCUUUUCCUUCCCAUGAUCGUCAACACGUUCUCGAUCUAAAAUGAUAAUAUCAUUAAAUUAACCAAAUCAAUAGAAAAAUUCAAUUUUUU